UACAGAGGAUGCAAGCGUUAUCCGGAAUGAUUGGGCGUAAAGCGUCUGUAGGUGGCUUUUUAAGUCCGCCGUCAAAUCCCAGGGCUCAACUGAGGAACUGCCUUUGAAACUGUACGGCUUGAGGCCGGGAGGGGGUAGCGGAAUUCCCAAUGUAGCGGUGAAAUGCGUAGAUAUUGGGAGGAACACCAGUGGCGAAGGCGGCUACCUGGACCGGUUCUGACGCUGAUGCGCGAAAGCGUGGGUAGCAAACAGG
rnacentral:rRNA from 1 species